rnacentral:lncRNA from 1 species
UAACGGCUAGAUUUUUUUUUACCACCGACGGUCCCGCCUUUUGUCCCGGUUGGAAGCUCCAACUAGGACAAAAGCCUCACCCUUGUGUCCUGGUUGGAGUUACCAACCGGGACAAAACGUUUACUCUGGUUGGUAAUUUCAACCGGGAGUAAACUCCCAACUGGGAUAAAAGUGCUUUGUUUUUGUCCCAGUUGGAAUUUUCAAUUGGGACAAAAACUCCUACCCUAUAAAAUCGCAAGACAGAGGUCUCUUCUUCCUCCUUCAGCUUCAG